rnacentral:snoRNA from 1 species
CACCCCCUUUUCACGUUGCUAAUUGGACUUAUGUCUUUAUUGGUCAUUCAAGAGGAGCAAAAUAAAUAUCAUGGGUGUUUGUCUUGGCAAACUGGGUGUUUGUCUUGGCUCCUGUCAGAAGAGACAACU